UAUCUUAUUAUAUAUAUACAACAACAAAAACCUCCUGACCUUUUAAAAACAAUACAAAUCUCAAAAGCUAUCAUUCUUGCUUCAAAUUUUAAACUUAUACAAAUACCUCAAGUUAAUGGUGAUUAUCCAUGCAUUUACUUUCAACAAAAAUUAUGCGCAACGUUGAAAUAAUCCAGGUAUGCAUCUAUUAUGCUACAAGAAAUCAGCCGAGAUGAAUUCCACAUUCCCACUCCCAGGAC
rnacentral:lncRNA from 1 species